GGGCUAGUGGCGCAAUGGAUAACGCGCCUGACUACGGAUCAGAACAUUCUAGGUUUGAAUCUUUGCUCCCG
rnacentral:tRNA from 1 species